AAUCACAUUCUAAUGCUGUAUUUAUUGAAGGGAAUUAUUUUUUCGAUAGUAAAUAUUCCGGAGCAGCAGUUCUGUAAUUAAUUUUUAAUAUUUUCGUAACUGUCCCAUGGUUGCAUAUAUAGCGUAUCGGCAUUUAACCUUGUCAUUAAUUCUCCCCUCUCGCUCUGAUUCCUCAACGCGAGAGCGAAGCGUUGGUUUCUCGCGUAGAUAUUUGCCGCUGGAGCGCGUUUGUUAUAAAUACGCGCAACUUGCCGGCAGAUGCUGCGUUUUCAUCACAUCUUCAAUUUCGCUAAGUUGAAAAGUCCGUGCAUAUUUGUCAUUCAGCUGCAAAAAAGCUUGUAUCAGCAAUUAAUUUGUCUUCGAAACUAAACCAACAAUGCAACUGUCCAUCCACGGCGUCAUCCUUUCCCGAACCGACCAAAUUUGUUGUCUAGAACUGACGCGCUAAGCGUUUUGUUUCUGGCAACAAAUUUAAUAGAAAUUACAGUGGUUAAGUUGUAUUGCGAAGGAGGAGAGUAGAGUUCUGCGAAUCGGCGUCGAAAUGCUCCAGCGUGAUGUGAUGUUUCCGCUAACCGGCCAACUGGAAAUCUGGGACGAUGCUGUCGUCGUUUCCGGGACUUUCAGUUGCCACCAUCCCAGUGAUCACUAUUAGCCCAAUGGUGAAUGUUAGAUUUAAGCAGACUAAUUGCAUUGUAUUUUAUGACACAAUAAAACAUGACGAAAGUUAA